rnacentral:rRNA from 1 species
AUUGAACGCUGGCGGCAGGCCUAACACAUGCAAGUCGAGCGGAUGACGGGAGCUUGCUCCUUGAUUCAGCGGCGGACGGGUGAGUAAUGCCUAGGAAUCUGCCUGGUAGUGGGGGACAACGUUUCGAAAGGAACGCUAAUACCGCAUACGUCCUACGGGAGAAAGCAGGGGACCUUCGGGCCUUGCGCUAUCAGAUGAGCCUAGGUCGGAUUAGCUAGUUGGUGGGGUAAUGGCUCACCAAGGCGACGAUCCGUAACUGGUCUGAGAGGAUGAUCAGUCACACUGGAACUGAGACACGGUCCAGACUCCUACGGGAGGCAGCAGUGGGGAAUAUUGGAAAAUGGGCGAAAGCCUGAUUCAGCCAUGCCGCGUGUGUGAAGAAGGUCUUCGGAUUGUAAAGCACUUUAAGUUGGGAGGAAGGGCAGUAAGUUAAUACCUUGCUGUUUUGACGUUACCGACAGAAUAAGCACCGGCUAACUCUGUGCCAGCAGCCGCCGUAA